rnacentral:rRNA from 1 species
GGCGGACGGGUGAGUAAUGCCUAGGAAUCUGCCUGGUAGUGGGGGAUAACGCUCGGAAACGGACGCUAAUACCGCAUACGUCCUACGGGAGAAAGCAGGGGACCUUCGGGCCUUGCGCUAUCAGAUGAGCCUAGGUCGGAUUAGCUAGUUGGUGAGGUAAUGGCUCACCAAGGCGACGAUCCGUAACUGGUCUGAGAGGAUGAUCAGUCACACUGGAACUGAGACACGGUCCAGACUCCUACGGGAGGCAGCAGUGGGGAAUAUUGGACAAUGGGCGAAAGCCUGAUCCAGCCAUGCCGCGUGUGUGAAGAAGGUCUUCGGAUUGUAAAGCACUUUAAGUUGGGAGGAAGGGCAUUUACCUAAUACGUAAGUGUUUUGACGUUACCGACAGAAUAAGCACCGGCUAACUCUGUGCCAGCAGCCGCGGUAAUACRGAGGGUGCARGCGUUAAUCGGAAUUACUGGGCGUAAAGCGCGCGUAGGUGGUUUGUUAAGUUGGAUGUGAAAU